rfam:Triticum aestivum genome assembly, contig: Triticum_aestivum_CS42_TGACv1_scaffold_543041_6DS
GUAUUACUCCCUCCGUCCCAAAAUAAGUGUCUUAAGUUUAGUACAACUUUGUACUAGAGUUAGUAUAAAGUUGAGACACUUAUUUUGGGACGGAGGGAGUACAUA